rnacentral:rRNA from 1 species
UACGUAGGGUGCGAGCGUUAAUCGGAAUUACUGGGCGUAAAGCGUGCGCAGGCGGUUCGUUGUGUCGGUGGUGAAAUCCCCGGGCUUAACCUGGGAAUGGCCAUGGAAACUGGCGAACUGGAGUGCGGCAGAGGGGGGUGGAAUUCCACGUGUAGCAGUGAAAUGCGUAGAGAUCGGAAGGAACAUCAGUGGCGAAGGCGACUUCCUGGACCAAUACUGACGCUCAGGUGCGAAAGCGUGGGGAGCAAACAGG